UACGGAGGGGGCUAGCGUUGUUCGGAAUUACUGGGCGUAAAGCGCGCGUAGGCGGAUCUGCAAGUCGGGGGUGAAAUCCCGAGGCUCAACCUCGGAACUGCCUUCGAUACUGCGGGUCUCGAGUCCGGGAGAGGCGAGUGGAAUUCCUAGUGUAGAGGUGAAAUUCGUAGAUAUUAGGAAGAACACCAGUGGCGAAGGCGGCUCACUGGCCCGGUACUGACGCUGAGGCGCGAAAGCGUGGGGAGCAAACAGG
rnacentral:rRNA from 1 species